UCGUGUGUGGCUGCUUGCGCAGCUGCUCCGUGCCAGGCUUGGAGGACCAGGAGAAGGGGUAGUCACUUGCCACAGCUGGAGGCUGGAGCGUGUGGCACCACGGCUCGCCUCGCUGUGGUGGGUGCUGGCGACAGAGACGGCAGCUCGGCUGGACUGCUCUGUUUUUACCCUUUCUCCGGGCUGUUAUUGUCAUACAAAUUACAUCUUUAUACAUGUUGUGCUGAACAACAAGUCGAUUUGUAGGUGUUUCUUUGUGAAGUUAUCCUCUAAAUCAGAUUUGCUGAGAUUUGUUUUGUGGCCUAACAUCUGAUCUACCCUGAAGACACUUCCAUGUGCUGAUGGGGAGAAUGCAUACUCUUCAACUGUUGAGUGGGAUGUUCUGUGAAUAUCUGGUAAAAAAACUGAGGCUUAGAAACAUUGAAAAAAACUUGCUCAACGUUGCAAAACAAGAAAUUUGUGACACUGGAAUUGACAUCUACAAGGGACUGAUGUAACUAAUUGCUGGAUACAUGUCCCUCAAAGACACAGAAACAGAUCUUGUAUUCUAGUGGAUCUCCGGCACCCAGUGAGGGCCUGAAACAGAGUACAUGUCCAACAAAUAAUUAUUGAAGUAAAGAUUGACAUUUCAGGAGCAGAGAUUAAUAUUCAAAAACAAAGAUGAGAAUUUUGGCAGAAAAGUCAAAAUGAGGUUCCAACGUGGCUCAACAUGGCAGUUGCUGAUCCUGACUUUGCUUAAAAUUUGGUACUUUGUUUAUCACAAAUUUUAAAAUUAAUUUUGAUUUCUCAAAAUAUUGAUUAAAAUGUUUAUCUCUA
rnacentral:lncRNA from 1 species